UACAGAGGGGGCAAGCGUUGUCCGGAAUCAUUGGGCGUAAAGGGCGCGUAGGUGGCCCGGUCAGUUCGUGGUGAAAGCGCGGGGCUCAACCCUGCGUCGGCCAUGAAUACUGCCGCGGCUGGAGCACUGUAGAGGCAGGCGGAAUUCCGGGUGUAGCGGUGGAAUGCGUAGAGAUCCGGAAGAACACCGGUGGCGAAGGCGGCCUGCUGGGCAGUUGCUGACACUGAGGCGCGACAGCGUGGGGAGCAAACAGG
rnacentral:rRNA from 1 species